rnacentral:ncRNA from 1 species
GGAGUUUAGAAGUUCUUAUUGUUAUGUAAAAAAUCAGCAAUGUUUGAACAGGAUGUUCAAACAAGCCUCCACUGAGCCAUGGAUGGCGAAUUGGAGGCGGUUGCGUCAUGCGAUAAUAUCUAUAAUCAGAACAAUUAGAACUUCUUAACUCC